CGCACGGCCGUACCCACUCCUGCGUUACCUGAAUGGAGCCGAGGCGCAACUCCGCCACUUUGGACGAGAUGUCCCGGAGGAAGCUCUCCAGCCACUGCCGGCUGUCCUGCGCCUCGGGGCCGUCCUCCCGCAGAUACCUCUGAGAGCAUCCUGGCUGUGUCUUCCCUGUACCUUCCCAUAGGAUGUCUGAAGACAUCAAGAUGCUCCCUACCCAUGGUCAUCUCCAGAUGAGACCUAGGUCCUUUGCCCUGGUACAUUCGGUGCUCCAGAACCCAACCAUCAUGGUGCCCCUCAGUGGUCUCAUUCCAGUGAGCUGGUAUCUCUCUUGUGCUGGAGAGCCCUGCCCUGAGCACCAUGGUCAUGAUGAGGUCUUGAGCUGAAUGAAGAAGAUAAUCACUUCCCUUGCAGUGCUGGCUAAGCUCUCUCACUGAUGCAGUCCCCAGUGUGGUUGGCUGUCACCACCGCAAGAGAUUUCAUAAUCACGAGGUUUCCCAAGAAGACUGCAUAAAACCCUGGAAGGCAACGAUCUGAUGUAAUGUGAACAUCAUUCUACUGAAGAACCCAAUCAACUUUUGUACUUGUACAUCCCUAUAAAAGGUCCAUAACAUUUCACUUAAUGUGCAUGAAUGAUUUCCCAACUUGCUUCCAUGAGAACUGAAUUUGUUUGCCUCUGUAAUCAGUUGUUAUUACUAGAGUGUGUUAUCUUUGUAGUCUGCUUCUUUUUGCAUAUGUUUAUAAGUUUCCUCAUAGAAUGGUCAGUCAUUCAGGAACUGUAAGUGCACAUUAUUAUGGAGAAAAACAGAAAG